rnacentral:rRNA from 1 species
UACGUAGGUGGCAAGCGUUGUCCGGAUUUACUGGGCGUAAAGAGCGCGCAGGCGGUCGUUCAAGUCGCGUGUGAAAGCCCCCGGCUCAACUGGGGAGGGUCACGCGAUACUGAUCGACUGGAAGGCAGGAGAGGGUAGUGGAAUUCCCGGUGUAGUGGUGAAAUGCGUAGAUAUUCGGAAGAACACCAGUGGCGAAGGCGGCUCACUGGACUGGUAUUGACGCUGAGGCGCGAAAGCUAGGGGAGCAAACAGG